rnacentral:rRNA from 1 species
AUGAACGCUGGCGGCGUGCCUAAUACAUGCAAGUCGAGCGAACAGACGAGGAGCUUGCUCCUCUGACGUUAGCGGCGGACGGGUGAGUAACACGUGGAUAACCUACCUAUAAGACUGGGGUAACUUCGGGAAACCGGAGCUAAUACCGGAUAAUAUAUUGAACCGCAUGGUUCAAUAGUGAAAGACGGUUUUGCUGUCACUUAUAGAUGGAUCCGCGCCGCAUUAGCUAGUUGGUAAGGUGACGGCUUACCAAGGCGACGAUGCGUAGCCGACCUGAGAGGGUGAUCGGCCACACUGGAACUGAGACACGGUCCAGACUCCUACGGGAGGCAGCAGUAGGGAAUCUUCCGCAAUGGGCGAAAGCCUGACGGAGCAACGCCGCGUGAGUGAUGAAGGUCUUCGGAUCGUAAAACUCUGUUAUUAGGGAAGAACAAAUGUGUAAGUAACUAUGCACGUCUUGACGGUACCUAAUCAGAAAGCCACGGCUAACUACGUG